rnacentral:rRNA from 1 species
AGAGUUUGAUCCUGGCUCAGGACGAACGCUGGCGGCGCGCCUAACACAUGCAAGUCGAACGAGAGAUGAGGAGCUUGCUCUUCAAAUCGAGUGGCGAACGGGUGAGUAACGCGUGAGGAACCUGCCUCAAAGAGGGGGACAACAGUUGGAAACGACUGCUAAUACCGCAUAAGCCCACGGCUCGGCAUCGAGCAGAGGGAAAAGGAGCAAUCCGCUUUGAGGUGGCCUCGCGUCCGAUUAGCUAGUUGGUGAGGUAACGGCCCACCAAGGCGACGAUCGGUAGCCGGACUGAGAGGUUGAACGGCCACAUUGGGACUGAGACACGGCCCAGACUCCUACGGGAGGCAGCAGUGGGGAAUAUUGCACAAUGGGGGAAACCCUGAUGCAGCGACGCCGCGUGGAGGAAGAAGGUCUUCGGAUUGUAAACUCCUGUUGUUGAGGAAGAUAAUGACGGUACUCAACAAGGAAGUGACGGCUAACUACGUGCCAGCAGCCGCGGUAAAACGUAGGUCACAAGCGUUGUCCGGAACUACUGGGUGUAAAGGGAGCGCAGGCGGGAGAACAAGUUGGAAGUGAAAUCCAUGGGCUCAACCCAUGAACUGCUUUCAAAACUGUUUUUCUUGAGUAGUGCAGAGGUAGGCGGAAUUCCCGGUGUAGCGGUGGAAUGCGUAGAUAUCGGGAGGAACACCAGUGGCGAAGGCGGCCUACUGGGCACCAACUGACGCUGAGGCUCGAAAGUGUGGGUAGCAAACAGGAUUAGAUACCCUGGUAGUCCACACCGUAAACGAUGAUUACUAGGUGUUGGAGGAUUGACCCCUUCAGUGCCGCAGUUAACACAAUAAGUAAUCCACCUGGGGAGUACGACCGCAAGGUUGAAACUCAAAGGAAUUGACGGGGGCCCGCACAAGCAGUGGAGUAUGUGGUUUAAUUCGACGCAACGCGAAGAACCUUACCAAGUCUUGACAUCCCUUGACGAACAUAGAAAUAUGUUUUCUCUUCGGAGCAAGGAGACAGGUGGUGCAUGGUUGUCGUCAGCUCGUGUCGUGAGAUGUUGGGUUAAGUCCCGCAACGAGCGCAACCCUUAUGGUCAGUUACUACGCAAGAGGACUCUGGCCAGACUGCCGUUGACAAAACGGAGGAAGGUGGGGAUGACGUCAAAUCAUCAUGCCCUUUAUGACUUGGGCUACACACGUACUACAAUGGCGUUAAACAAAGAGAAGCAAGACCGCGAGGUGGAGCAAAACUCAGAAACAACGUCCCAGUUCGGACUGCAGGCUGCAACUCGCCUGCACGAAGUCGGAAUUGCUAGUAAUCGUGGAUCAGCAUGCCACGGUGAAUACGUUCCCGGGCCUUGCACACACCGCCCGUCA